rnacentral:rRNA from 1 species
GACGGAGGGUGCGAGCGUUGUUCGGAUUGACUGGGCGUAAAGGGCGUGUAGGCGGUCGGCCAAGUCUGGUGUCGAAAGCCCGGGGCUAGCUCGGAAGUGCGCCGGAAACUGGGGUGCUGGAGCGGCGGGAGAGGAAAGCGGAAGUUCCUGGUGUGAGCGGUGAAAUGCGUAGAUAGUCGAGGAGGAACACCGGCGGGUGUAGACGGCUU